rnacentral:rRNA from 1 species
CCUAUGAUUUUUAUUAAAUGGCUGCAGUAUAUUGACUGUGCAAAGGUAGCAUAGUAAUUAGUUUCUUAAUUAGGAACUUGUAUGAAUGGAUGAAUGAGAAAUAUAUUUUAUUAAUUUUAGUAUUAAAAAUUAAACUUUAAGUCAAAAUGCUUAACUGUUUUUCUGGGACGAUAAGACCCUAUAGAACUUAAAUUAAAAAAGCUUGGGAAAAUUUUGUUAAAUUAGUUUAUUCAAGCUUUUUUAAUUUUAGCUGGGGUGGUUGAUAAAUUUAAACUUUAUUUUUUAUAUUCAUUAUAAUUGUAAUUUAAGAUCUUCAAUAUGAAAUUAUAAGACUAAGUUACCUUAGGGAUAACAGCGUAAUUUUAAUGGAAAGUUCAUAUUUAUAUUAAGUUUUGCGACCUCGAUGUUGAAUUAAGAAUAGUUUAAGAAGCAGUUUUCUUUAAUCUAAGUCUGUUCGACUUUUAAAUUCUUACUUGAUCUGAGUUCAGACCGGA